rnacentral:rRNA from 1 species
UCCGUGUCUAUCUGUACCCUGUUGCUUCGGCGUGGCCACGGCCCGCCGAAGACUAACAUUUGAACACUGUCUGAAGUUUGCAGUCUGAGUUUUUAGUUAAACAAUAAUUAAAACUUUCAACAACGGAUCUCUUGGUUCCGGCAUCGAUGAAGAACGCAGCGAAAUGCGAUAAUUAAUGUGAAUUGCAGAAUUCAGUGAAUCAUCGAGUCUUUGAACGCACAUUGCGCCCCCUGGUAUUCCGGGGGGCAUGCCUGUCCGAGCGUCAUUGCUGCCCUCAAGCACGGCUUGUGUGUUGGGCUUCCGUCCCUGGUAACGGGGACGGGCCCAAAAGGCAGUGGCGGCACCAUGUCUGGUCCUCGAGCGUAUGGGGCUUUGUCACCCGCUCCCGUAGGUCCAGCUGGCAGCUAGCCUCGCAACCAAUCUUUUUAACCAGGUUGACCUCGGAUCAGGUAGGGAUACCCGCUGAACUUAAGCAUAUCA